rnacentral:misc_RNA from 1 species
GAUGAAGAACGCAGCGAAAUGCGAUAAGUAGUGUGAAUUGCAGAAUUCAGUGAAUCAUCGAAUCUUUGAACGCACAUUGCGCCCUUUGGUAUUCCUUAGGGCAUGCCUGUUCGAGCGUCAUUUAAACCUUCAAGCUCAGCUUGGUGUUGGGUGACUGUCCGCUUCACCGCGGACUCGCCUCAAAAUUAUUGGCGGCCGGUACAUUGGCUCUCGAGCGCAGCAGAAACGCGUAACUCGAGGUCCUCGUGCUGGCUCCCAGAAGCUAUCUUCACAAUUUUGACCUCGGAUCAGGUAGGGAUACCCGCUGGACUUAAGCAUAUCAAUAAGCGGAGGA